UCGCGCAUUUUCCAGUGUUGCUUAGUUGAGUGUGCGACGCGUUUGGCUCUGGUCGUUUGUCGUUAGUUUCGUCCAUAAAAUGGCGUCGAUAGUGAUUCGCUGCUGCUGUCGUCGUCGUCGCUCGCGAUGCGAGGGCUUUGAACUCGCGACGUUCGCACACCCGUUCAACGGCCCGCAGAUCACAAGUAACGACGCCGCCCCCGCCUCCACCCCCGCCCAGUUUCGCUAGCGAAAAAGUGUAACAAAAAUCAGAGUGCGCCGAGCUCCAUUAUCUGGGACCCCUUAGAUAACCGCCGUCCCCCCAACGACCGCAGCAGCAGGCAAUCAGUUAUUGGCCUCAACAGUGCGAAGCUCCCCACCACUGAGCAUUGAACUGCGAAUUACACCCAACAAAUGGGAGCCAUCUAUAUAACUGGAUGUAUAUUGAAGCUGCAUAGAGGUCUAGCCAACUGCCUAUCACACAUAGCGAAACAGAUCUAGAAUUGAAGAACCAUUUGAAGAGAGGCUGCAGAGCAGGUGCAGACGAGGCUACUGAUGAGACGACUGUGUGGAACGUGCAACUCUCACUAA